rnacentral:rRNA from 1 species
GACGAACGCUGGCGGCGUGCCUAAUACAUGCAAGUCGAACGCUUCUUUUUCCACCGGAGCUUGCUCCACCGGAAAAAGAGGAGUGGCGAACGGGUGAGUAACACGUGGGUAACCUGCCCAUCAGAAGGGGAUAACACUUGGAAACAGGUGCUAAUACCGUAUAACAAUCGAAACCGCAUGGUUUUGAUUUGAAAGGCGCUUUCGGGUGUCGCUGAUGGAUGGACCCGCGGUGCAUUAGCUAGUUGGUGAGGUAACGGCUCACCAAGGCGACGAUGCAUAGCCGACCUGAGAGGGUGAUCGGCCACAUUGGGACUGAGACACGGCCCAAACUCCUACGGGAGGCAGCAGUAGGGAAUCUUCGGCAAUGGACGAAAGUCUGACCGAGCAACGCCGCGUGAGUGAAGAAGGUUUUCGGAUCGUA